rnacentral:lncRNA from 1 species
GGGACUGUUGGAGAUGAUCUAAUAAAAAAUAAGGGGUUUUACACUACUACUCUAACCAGCUAGUCCUGUCAGGUGUGAUUGGUUGCUUGGCUUAGGUUUAUCUAGGCUUAAGGAAAAUGCUUGAGGCUCUGCCCCCAUUUUUGCACUCGAGAGAAGGUUAGGGUCUUGGUCAGCCAAACAAACAGGAUGUAUUCAAGCUUGUGUAGGCAUGCACUUGGCGGCUUAAUAAUUAUCCGAAGUCCCGAGCACACGGAC